UGGUACCACAAUAAAGGAAUCUUAAACACUUCUAACCUUUUGGAAUAGGUUUGAAUAUGGACCUAUAAUAUACUUUGCCAAUGGACCUAAUAGAUUACCAAUAUACUUCUAAAUGUCAUGGUUCUCUUCAGACGCAACAGAAGAAAUCUGGAUCUAAUUGUUAAACUUCAGAAAUUUAACCAAGAUGCUUAGGAAGAAGCAAAAGGCCAGCAGUACUUAAGCCUGUCAUAUUUGUCACCAAUAUAACUGUAUUGCUAUUAAAAGUAAAAUAAUGGUAGGGAGCAGCCAACUAAUUGCUAGUCUCAGUUCAUAGAUUUAGUAUUUUUUGAAAAUAAUUCACCUCAGAUAGCAGGCUAUACAAGUUUAAAGUAGUUUUAACUUAACCUUUUGUGUACUAGUUAAAGCAAUUCAGAUAGAUCCCAAGUCAAAGAACCGAACAGUGUAUCAAAUUGGGUUUCAUAUCAGAAAUCAGCCAUUUCCAAACAACUGCAUCGUAUAGGACGUUUUCUUUCAGACUGCCUUUUAUUCCUGGCUUCAAAUCUUACUCACAGUAUAUGUUUUUAGAGAGUUUGGUAAGUGUAACAAAUGGGUACUCAUUGCUAGAGCAGGAUAUAAGAAUGUGCUGAUCACCAAGUAUGAGAUUUACAUUACAUUAAAUUAAAAUUAUAUAAUGUCGGAAAUAGACAAUAUAGGGAGUUCCCGGAUCCUAGAAAAUAUUAUGGCUAAGGAAACAGAGAACUCAAGAAAGGAAUCUACCUCCAAGAAACUAAUUCAGUAUAGUAAAAUAGAAUUAAGUGCCCUGUCUCAGGAAAAAGUUUAUUAAGAAUAAGGAACAAGUGGGACAUCAUACAUCGUUUCUUUGGAGAUUAAAGUGCAGGCUAUGAAAUGGCAUAUAAAAUAAUGCGUAAAAUAGUGCAAUCUUAAGGUGCCAUUAUUUUUAUUACACAUAGCCUAGUUUUAUGUCCAUUUUCUCUCAAAAAUCCAGCUGUAGUGACACCUUUUAGCUUAUUAAUUUAGGCAUUACUUAUACUGUUUUACCCACCUUUGGGGCUACAUAGAAUAUUUUAACAUUUUUAACACGUAGAAUAAUUGCGCAUACAUCUUGAAACUACUAAAUAGAGAUUAAGGCAAGCCCCUGUAAAGUUCAGUACUCCAAAAAAAGUGUUUUACAAAAAAAUUGCUUCCC
rnacentral:lncRNA from 1 species